UACGAAGGGGGCUAGCGUUGCUCGGAAUUACUGGGCGUAAAGGGAGCGUAGGCGGACAUUUAAGUCAGAGGUGAAAUCCCGGAGCUUAACUUCGGAACUGCCUUUGAUACUGGGUGUCUUGAGUGUGAGAGAGGUAUGUGGAACUCUGAGUGUAGAGGUGAAAUUCGUAGAUAUUCGGAAGAACACCAGUGGCGAAGGCGACAUACUGGCUCAUUACUGACGCUGAGGCUCGAAAGCGUGGGGAGCAAACAGG
rnacentral:rRNA from 1 species